rnacentral:rRNA from 1 species
UACGGAAGGCAGCAGUGGGGAAUAUUGCACAAUGGGCGCAAGCCUGAUGCAGCCAUGCCGCGUGUACGAAGAAGGCCUUCGGGGUUGUAAAGUACUUUCAGUCGUGAGGAAGGUGUUAAGGUUAAUAACCUUAGCAAUUGACGUUAGCGACAGAAGAAGCACCGGCUAACUCCGUGCCAGCAGCCGCGGUAAUACGGAGGGUGCGAGCGUUAAUCGGAAUUACUGGGCGUAAAGGGCACGCAGGCGGUUAAUUAAGUUGGAUGUGAAAUCCCCGGGCUUAACCUGGGAAUGGCAUUCAAGACUGGUUAGCUAGAGUCUUGUAGAGGGGGUAGAAUUCCAUGUGUAGCGGUGAAAUGCGUAGAGAUGUGGAGGAAUACCGGUGGCGAAGGCGGCCCCUGGACAAAGACUGACGCUCAUGUGCGAAAGCGUGGGGAGCAAACAGGGAUUAGAUACC